rnacentral:rRNA from 1 species
GACGAACGCUGGCGGCGUGCUUAACACAUGCAAGUCGAGCGGUAAGGCCCUUUCGGGGGUACACGAGCGGCGAACGGGUGAGUAACACGUGGGUGACCUGCCCUCAGCUCUGGGAUAAGCCUGGGAAACCGGGUCUAAUACUGGAUAUGACUCCAUGACGCAUGUUGUGGGGUGGAAAGCCUUGUGCGGCUGAGGAUGGGCCCGCGGCCUAUCAGCUUGUUGGUGGGGUGANGGCCUACCAAGGCGACGACGGGUAGCCGGCCUGAGAGGGCGACCGGCCACACUGGGACUGAGACACGGCCCAGACUCCUACGGGAGGCAGCAGUGGGGAAUCUCGCGCAAUGGGCGAAAGCCUGACGCAGCGACGCCGCGUGA